CGCCUAUACACAAAAGCAAAAAUGUCCGUUUAUACAAAUAUACGGCGUUUCGGUUUUGUUGGCGGGGGGUGCGUGUGUGGAUAACGGCUCACAUAACGUGUCGCGAUGGAUGACUGGCUUCCUAUUUCGUUGAAGAACGCAGUAAAGUGCGAUAAGUGGUAUCA
rnacentral:rRNA from 1 species